GAUGCAAUUGUAUGCUCCCAGUGACUUAUGACACAGAGGAAAUUUCUGACUCACUUCAUUUUUAAAAAGGUAAAAGGCUAUAAUACAUGCAUUUUUGAGAGCAGAAACUGAAACUCAACAACACAGCACAGCAGACCGGAAGAGCAUAUAAAAAAGGGACCUGUCCAGCCUUGAGAAUUUCCUGAGCGUCUGAUCUGCCAGAUUACGAGCAUUUCCUGAGACCAUAAAACAGAGGAGCAGUCAAAGCACCAUCGAAUUCACCUGUUGGGAACUGUGUAGACCGCAAAACAUGCCUCCAAUGAUUAAAAUUUUUAAAAGUGAGCUGACGGCUCUUUCCAUCUGUUUUCCAAUGAUCAUUGUAUUAAUUUCUUUGGAGGCUUUGAUUGAUAAAGAUUUUAUAUGCCCAUGCGAUGCGAAGCUGAAUGCGACUAUAACAAACCUUAUCUUCGCCGGCCCUUUUGUUUUAGCUUUUUUUUCAAUGUGUAUUAUUUUACUGUGGAUUAACUAUAAAAUUAAAUAUACAUUUUUUGUAUUUCAACUGUUAAAAAUGUUGUUGCUUUGCCUGAUUCCACCUUUUGUGUGGAUCAUUCUUGUGCUCCUUGAUGGUGAAUAUGUUGCCUGUCGAGACACAGACUGGAACGGAGUGUAUGUUACAGAUGAUCAGCUACAUUUCAGAUGGUGUAAACCCACUGACUUAUUUCCAGGAAGAAAUGACACCGAGCUCCAGGCUCUGACGACCAGCUUUAUCGUCAAGUCACAGAUUCAUGGUUUUGUGAUGCUCCUUUCAUUAAGCAUUUUCUUAAUUCUGCUUCAUGUUUGCUGCUGCUGCAGUGAUGACAAGACAGAGAAUCAAAGUAAGAAACAGACUGAGAAGGAAGAAUUUACAGGUACUUUUGUUUGCCAUAGGAGUGAACUAACCCCAGUUCAGACCAAAUGAUUGGGGAGGAAACUUUCCACUGCAGCUCAAAGAAACCAUUGCUAAAAAUACUUGUGUAUGAAGAUUUAAGUUAGCCUAUCUGAUAAUAUGUAUAUUUUAUGAUUAUGCUAAAUGUAAAAAUUAAACGUCCACUGUUAUUGAAAAUAAAUAACAUAACAUGAAUAAAUGAUAUGUUAUAGAUGUAAGGGACAUGUGAAUAUGUCAUGUGUAAA